rnacentral:rRNA from 1 species
UAUCCUACGGGAGGCAGCAGUUAGGAAUAUUGGGCAAUGGAGGAAACUCUGACCCAGCAACGCCGCGUGAAGGAAGAAGGUUUUCGGAUUGUAAACUUCUGAUCUUGGGGAAAAAGAAAGUGAUGGUACCCAAGGAGAAAGCCACGGCUAACUACGUGCCAGCAGCCGCGGUAAUACGUAGGUGGCGAGCGUUGUCCGGAAUGACUGGGCGUAAAGGGAGCGUAGGUUGUUGUUUAAGUUAAAUGUGAAAGCCCGCGGCUCAACUGCGGAACUGCAUUUAAUACUGGACAACUAGAGUGCAGGAG